UACCAGCACCCCGAGUGGUCGGGACGAUUAUUGGGCCUAAAGCAUCCGUAGCCGGUCCUACAAGUCUUCCGUUAAAUCCACCUGCUUAACAGAUGGGCUGCGGAAGAUACUAUAGGGCUAGGAGGCGGGAGAGGCAAGCGGUACUCAGUGGGUAGGGGUAAAAUCCGUUGAUCCAUUGAAGACCACCAGUGGCGAAGGCGGCUUGCCAGAACGCGCUCGACGGUGAGGGAGUGAAAGCUGGGGGAGCAAACCGG
rnacentral:rRNA from 1 species